GACGAACGCUGGCGGCGUGCUUAACACAUGCAAGUCGAACGGUGAAGCGCCUUCCUUUUUGGUGGGUGUGGAUGAGUGGCGAACGGGUGAGUAACACGUGAGUAACCUGCCCCCUUCUUCUGGAUAACCGCAUGAAAGUGUGGCUAAUACGGGAUAUUCUGGGUCUGUCGCAUGAUGGGUCUGGGAAAGAUAUUGUUUCGGUGGGGGGUGGGCUCGCGGCCUAUCAGCUUGUUGGUGUGGUGAUGGCCUACCAAGGCGGUGACGGGUAGCCGGCCUGAGAGGGUGGACGGUCACACUGGGACUGAGACACGGCCCAGACUCCUACGGGAGGCAGCAGUGGGGAAUAGUGCACAAUGGGCGCAAGCCUGAUGCAGCGACGCCGCGUGAGGGAUGGAGGCCUUCGGGUUGUGAACCUCUUUCGCCAGUGAAGCAGGCCUGCCUCGUUUGUGGGUGGGUUGACGGUAGCUGGAUAAGAAGCGCCGGCUAACUACGUG
rnacentral:rRNA from 1 species